CCUCAGGGACUAAAAGAAUGACACAUGGAUAAACAGGAACUAAGCUCCUAAGCUUUUCACCUACCUGCCAUCUUCCUCACCACGCAUGAGGAUUAGAAGCGUCACAAAGAAAGCAGUCUCGGAAGUUUGUCAAAUAGAGAUUUCUGGGUGAUGGUUUGGGAAAGGAUGAUUUAGAUCGUGCCUCUCCUGGGUGAGGAAAGUGACUGAAACACAUAACAGCAGAGAACUUGAAGUGCUGGUUUGAGCUUCAGGAGAUGUGAGUUCUAGCCCCAGUGCUGCCUGUGAUUUUCUCUGUGACCUGGGACAAGUCCCUUGUGGAUACGACAGGAUGUGCGGGCUACAAGGAUCUCUGAGACUUCUCCCAGUGAACUUCUCUCAUAUUCUACAUCUUAAGACAAUGGAUAUAUUUUCUCAAACUGGUCAGACAGUUAAAGAGUCAUCUUACAGGACAAAUGAGAUAAAGUUAUGCUCCUGGAAGAUGUCCUGGGUUACAUAUGCAAGAAUGAUGAUCUGGGUUUCUGUGUGAUCUUGAGCAAGAUUCUCCAUCUCUGGGUCUCAAGUUCUUCAUCUGACUACUUCUGUCCAAAGCCACAUUCAGAAGUCACGGUGAACAUUCAGGAACAGCCACACAGGGCAAGGCGUGCUGCAUUCAUCUACUGUGCAACAGUGGGGGAUUCAGGGACAGAGCACAGCCACAGCCUGGUAAAGAAACUGGCAUGGAAACAACUUAUGAUAACUGCAGUAAAAGAGGGAACCCAGGGCACAAGCUUAUGGAAGAAGAAUUUUCUUAUUUUAUCCAGCUCCCAUUUAUUGAUGCCUGACUCUGAACCCACAUCUGAGAAAGCAAUGAAGUGGGGGAGAUUCCUGUAGGUGACACAUUUUUCCAAAUUUAGAACAGGUAUUUGACUGUUUUAUUAUUUUCUCAUCUUGUAUCUUUUACUUUAUAGCCCAAGUUCUCUAGAAUUUUAUUGAGAGUACAAAGUAGAUGCAGUUCCUUUUUUAUAUAUA
rnacentral:lncRNA from 1 species